rnacentral:lncRNA from 1 species
CCUUGGGUCAGUGCAAUGCAGCUGAGCAUGCUCCAGGUGGUGCAGCCUUCCUCUUCUCUGUGCGUGUGAGCAAGGCAUUUGGAAAGAUGAGUUGUGUGCAAGCACACAGUUCCAGGUGGUUUGACCAGAGGUUUGUGGCGGUCCAGUUUACAGGAAACUUUUAUGCUUAAACCAAGAGGAUGCUAUAGAUGGAGCUAAUCUGCGAAUACAAGAUAGGAUAUUCGGGAAGUAUUUGAGAACUUGGAGAUGGAUAAUUCCUUUUCCCUCCCCUCAUGCUUGCUAUUGGCAGUGCAUAUGAG